rnacentral:rRNA from 1 species
UACGUAGGGACCGAGCGUUGUCCGGAUUCAUUGGGCGUAAAGAGCUCGUAGGCGGCUGUUCAAGUCGAACGUGAAAACUCGGAGCUCAACUCCGAGCCUGCGUUCGAUACUGGACGGCUAGAGUCUGGUAGGGGGGAUCUGGAAUUCCUGGUGUAGCGGUGAAAUGCGCAGAUAUCAGGAGGAACACCGAUGGCGAAGGCAGUGUUCUGGGCCAGUACUGACGCUGAGGAGCGAAAGCGUGGGGGAGCAAACAGG